GAGCGGUAGCACAGAGAGCUUGCUCUCGGGUGACGAGCGGCGGACGGGUGAGUAUGUCUGGGAAACUGCCUGAUGGAGGGGGAUAACUACUGGAAACGGUAGCUAAUACCGCAUAACGUCUUCGGACCAAAGUGGGGGACCUUCGGGCCUCAUGCCAUCAGAUGUGCCCAGAUGGGAUUAGCUAGUAGGUGGGGUAAUGGCUCACCUAGGCGACGAUCCCUAGCUGGUCUGAGAGGAUGACCAGCCACACUGGAACUGAGACACGGUCCAGACUCCUACGGGAGGCAGCAGUGGGGAAUAUUGCACAAUGGGCGCAAGCCUGAUGCAGCCAUGCCGCGUGUAUGAAGAAGGCCUUCGGGUUGUAAAGUACUUUCAGCGAGGAGGAAGGCAUUAAGGUUAAUAACCUUGGUGAUUGACGUUACUCGCAGAAGAAGCACCGGCUAACUCCGUGCCAGCAGCCGCGGUAAUACGGAGGGUGCAAGCGUUAAUCGGAAUUACUGGGCGUAAAGCGCACGCAGGCGGUCUGUCAAGUCGGAUGUGAAAUCCCCGGGCUCAACCUGGGAACUGCAUUCGAAACUGGCAGGCUAAAUCUUGUANAGGGGGGUAGAAUUCCAGGU
rnacentral:rRNA from 1 species